rnacentral:rRNA from 1 species
AUGGCGGGUGGAGGCUGGGGUGGAGGUCGUAGGCCAAACCCCAGGCCUGGUGGGGGUGGUGCGGCCGGGGGCGGACCUAUGGCCUUCCACCAUGGCGGAGCCCCUACCCCCCUGCCCUCCUCGGUUGGGCAAACUGCGCAGGCUCAGAUCCAGUACCAGGGCCCUGGGAUGACCUCUGGCGCUCCCCCUGGGGUCUGGAACUCUCCUCAGUUUGGGCAGUGGCCACAGUUCUUUCUUCCUCAACACCAAAUGCAACAAUUGAUGCCACAGCAACAGAUGAUGCAGCAGAUGGGGCCUCAGUUUGGGUUCCCAGGUCAGUUCUUCCCGCAGCAGAUCUUCCACCCGGAGAUGGUUGUUACCAUGGGGGCGGGCUCCAGCUCUGUACCUCAAUCUGGGGAGAACCAACCUCAAAAUCAAAGGAAGAAGACCCAGAAAAAUCAGAGAUAUCGUGGAGCUGUGGAAACUGCUGGGGAGAAAUCCAAUCCUGUGCAAGUUGCAUGUGUUGAAGCUGCUGUGAAUUAUGACAUGAGACUGAAGGAUGUCAUUUGCUACAACUGUGGUGAGUCGGCUCAUUAUGUGGGGCAGUGCGUCGCUGCCAAACUGUGCUUCAUCUGUCAUAAGGUCGGGCAUCACAUGGAUGCCUGUCCUAACUGGUUUAAACCUCUCCCUGCUGCUACGUAUCUUGGCAGUGCUAAUGUGGGUUUGGGUUUUUUCCACAUUGAGUGCAGUGGGGCGGAUGACAACAAAUGGCUGAACCUCUCCAAUGUUGGGAUUGCAGUCAUUGAGGAAGGGUCUGUUACUGUCCAAGAACUUAAGCAAAAUUUCUCAGAGAUCUGGAGGACUAACUGGCCGUGGCAGAUUAGAAAGCUGAGUGAGAAGCAGUUCCUAGUUAGAUUCCCCCCUCACAUGAAGGUCAAAGAUCUUAUUGAGCUGCCUUCCAUCAACCUAAAGAAGAAGGGAGUCACUGUGUCCUUUAUGAAGUGGGAGGGAGAGAUUGAAUGCUAUGCAGAGACCCAAGAUGUCUGGAUUAAUGUGACGGGCCUGCCUCCAAAGUGGAUCACUUGGAAGGUUAUCUCCCAAGUUGAUUCUAUGUUUGGGAUCCUGACUAAUGUGGACUGGCAGGAGAUUUUCAGAAGCUUUUUCAAGAAUGUAACCAUCCAAGUGGCUGUUAGAGAUCACUCCAAAAUCCCAAAAGAUAGGCUGGCGGAGAUUGAGAAGGAGCUAUACUUACUCCAGUUCUCCCUGGUCACUGAUCAUGUGGAUGCUGGGGAUAAUCUAGUGAUCCCUCUAGUGAUAAUAGGGGAGAUGACCUAUUGGAUGAUAACUCUGGGAAAAGUGAUGGAAAUGGCAGAAGGAGAGCUAUGGACACUAAAAAAAUGUUGUAAAUGGAAAUGGUGGUGGUUCAUCAACUCCUGCUGCUGGAGGUCCAACUACUGGGGGUGCUGGCAAAAGUAA